rnacentral:rRNA from 1 species
AGCAGCCGCGGUAAUUCCAGCUCCAAUAGCGUAUAUUAAAGUUGUUGCAGUUAAAAAGCUCGUAGUUGAAUUUCGGGAUCAAUAUAUUGGUCGUGCCUUCGGUAUGCACUGGUAUUAUUGAUUUCUACCUUCUGACGAACCAUGAUGUCAUUAAUUUGGUGUCAUGGGGAAUCAGGACUGUUACUUUGAAAAAUUAGAGUGUUUAAAGCAGGCACACGCUUGAAUACAUUAGCAUGGAAUAAUGAAAUAGGACGUUUGAUCUUAUUUUGUUGGUUUCUAGGAUCGACGUAAUGAUUAAUAGGGAUAGUUGGGGGCAUUAGUAUUCAAUUGUCAGAGGUGAAAUUCUUGGAUUUAUUGAAGACUAACUACUGCGAAAGCAUUUGCCAAGGAUGUUUUCAUUAAUCAAGAACGAAAGUUAGGGGAUCGAAGACGAUCAGAUACCGUCGUAGUCUUAACCAUAAACUAUGCCGACUAGGGAUCGGAUGAUGUUAAUUUUUAAUGA